UGAUGGGCUAGGCCGGGCAGUUAGCCCCUGCCUGUCACUGCAAACGGGCUAUAUGGCGGGGCUGAAAAUAAGGGAGGCGGCUUUUUGAUGCUAAUUCCUGCCUGUUUGUCUCGUCGAAGCUCUGCCCUUCGGGACUCCUGGCUGAGAGAACCAGGUCAGGUCCGGAAGGAAGCAGCCUUAAUCCCAAUCAGGGGUGCUCAAAGGAUACAGGGUGGAGAGGCAUUCAGGGCCAACAGGAAUUGGCAUUAAGAGUCCACUCCCUUAAGCCCAUCA
rnacentral:SRP_RNA from 1 species